CAAGCAUGGUUUAAUACACUAAAAGUGGAAUGACCUAGAGAAGUUUAACAUGGCCCCAGUGCAAGGAUGAUGGUUAAAUGGGAGAAUUUGCCUAUGAAG
rnacentral:snRNA from 1 species